rnacentral:tRNA from 1 species
CGCGGGGUAGAGCAGCUAGGUAGCUCGUCGGGCUCAUAACCCGGAGGUCGCAGGUUCAAAUCCUGUCCCCGCAACCA